rnacentral:tRNA from 1 species
GAGAGAGUCCCGACGGAAAUAAUGACUGCUAAUCCCUUAUCCCCCUGGUUAAACCCCAGGGCUCACUCG